rnacentral:sRNA from 1 species
CACAGUCUCACCAUGGCCCGCACCGUGGUGCUCAUCACCGGCUGUUCCUCGGGCAUCGGCCUGCACUUGGCCGUACGUCUGGCUUCAGAUCCAUCCCAGAGCUUCAAAGUGUAUGCCACGUUGAGGGACCUGAAAACACAGGGCCGGCUGUGGGAGGCGGCCCGGGCCCUGGCAUGCCCUCCGGGAUCCCUGGAGACGUUGCAGCUGGACGUAAGGGACUCAAAAUCCGUGGCCGCUGCCCGGGAACGCGUGACUGAAGGCCGCGUGGACGUGCUGGUGUGUAACGCAGGCCUGGGCCUGCUGGGGCCGCUGGAGGCGCUGGGGGAGGACGCCGUGGCCUCUGUGCUGGACGUGAAUGUAGUAGGGACUGUGCGGGUGCUGCAGGCCUUCCUGCCAGACAUGAAGCGGCGCGGUUCGGGACGCGUGUUGGUGACCGGGAGCGUGGGAGGAUUGAUGGGUGAGUGGUAGGGAGUGGCCUCCGCAGCUCCAGAUUCUUUGUGUGCGGAGCUGAGCCUUGAAGGCAGGUUCCGCGGAGGGGGGUGGAGGGGGGUGCCGUCAGCUUGGAGGGGCACCGUCUGCCCGGGGAUGACCCCCUGGCCGCUGCGCCUCAGGAACCUCGUCUCCCCACCUAAGGGCUGCCUUUCAAUGACGUUUAUUGCGCCAGCAAGUUCGCGCUCGAAGGCUUAUGCGAGAGUCUGGCGGUUCUGCUGCUGCCCUUUGGGGUCCAGUGAGUCAACACCCCCGUUCCCCGAACCCUCUUAACUCUGACCUAGAGACGCCGAGCACCCUGUCCUGCGGGAGCCGCUCUGGGGCGAUCUCCCUGGCCCUCUCUGCCCGGCUCACAUUAGCUGUGUGCCAGGCACUUGGGCUGGGCGCAUGGCACGCAUUGUGCCACCUGCUGACCUGGCUGCUGAAGUGUUGGUAUUGUUAUGGGGAAGCUCCAGCCCAGAGAGGUUAGGUGACUGGCCCAAGGUCACACAGCGGCCAGGGACCCCGCUAGAUUCGAAUCCUGACACCAGGGCUCCCUUGUAGCCUCAGAUGGAUUUGGGAGGGCUGCUCCGGCAGGAACCCGCGUUUC